ensembl:lncRNA
GGCUGCUGCAGCCAAUGAUGCGAUUCACAUACGUAUUUACCAUAGACUGUAUAUAAUGGUAUUUACGCAGCUAAUCAACGUCAGGCGUCCUUAUGUGCAGCCAUCGUUGUUGUCAUAGAUAUGAAUGAGUAGAUAGGACACGCCCCUUUGAGCUGCGUGCUACAGCGAGGCUAAGCUAGUGGGGGCAAAGUUUCAGUGCAUUCCGUUGAUGUAGACGGCGUGAAAACGGAAACAAGUAUGCCGUCUCACUGUGCUGCAUACAGUUACACACUGCGUCGUACGAUUGAGACAAGGAAACUUGGAAUGACUUUUCAUAGGUUUCCCAGAGACUAUGGGGUUGAGGAGGAAUUGGAAGUUUGUCAGCUUAGACCUGGUGUCAUUCCAUCAGUGUUAAACUUCCCGGCUCAUCUUGGAAGAGUACGUGCCAGAAAGACCACGACCAAGCAGCCUUGAGAUCUUAGGCAGCGUCUCCCUGAGACCAAAGAACUACAGACUCUUCACAACCUGCUCAAACUCUUGGUACAGGACCUCACCACACGGGUCAAGAAGGUUUCCGUCUCAUUUCUACUCUGAAGCUCACCUUCUCCUGCUCAAACUGCUGACAAAUGUUUCUGCUGCUCUAAAGUCUGGUCUCCAGAACUUCCUAAAAACUCUCAAAGUCUCUUCUGCUGCAGGUUGCUUUGUAGAACUGUUGCAGAAAACCUCACUAAACCACAUGGAGGGGCCUCAAGAUAGUCGUCCAAAUGAAACCAUACAAAAACCAAACUAGUACAACCUAAACACUAAAGUCUCCUGCAGCCUACCAGAGAACCUCUG